rnacentral:pre_miRNA from 14 species
AUCUAAAUACAUUGUGAAAGACCCCUGGAGCGGGGAGACCCUCACUCAAGUCUCGGGAUGGUGCAACUCCCCAAGAACUCACAUGAGACC